GACAGAGGGUGCAAACGUUGCUCGGAAUCACUGGGCGUAAAGGGAGCGUAGGCGGAUAGUUUAGUCAGAGGUGAAAGCCCAGGGCUCAACCUUGGAAUUGCCUUUGAUACUGGCUAUCUUGAGUAUGGAAGAGGUAUGUGGAACUCCGAGUGUAGAGGUGAAAUUCGUAGAUAUUCGGAAGAACACCAGUGGCGAAGGCGACAUACUGGUCCAUUACUGACGCUGAGGCUCGGAAAGCGUGGGGAGCAAACAGG
rnacentral:rRNA from 1 species